GAUGAACGCUAGCGAUAGGCUUAACACAUGCAAGUCGAGGGGCAGCAUGGUCUUAGCUUGCUAAGACUGAUGGCGACCGGCGCACGGGUGCGUAACGCGUAUGCAACUUGCCUCACAGAGGGGGAUAACCCGUCGAAAGACGGACUAAUACCGCGUACACUUGGGAUAGGGCAUCCUACUCCAAGGAAAUGAAAUUCGCUGUGAGAUAGGCAUGCGUCCCAUUAGCUAGUUGGUGAGGUAACGGCUCACCAAGGCGACGAUGGGUAGGGGAACUGAGAGGUUGAACCCCCACACUGGUACUGAGACACGGACCAGACUCCUACGGGAGGCAGCAGUGAGGAAUAUUGGUCAAUGGGCGAGAGCCUGAACCAGCCAAGUCGCGUGAAGGAUGACUGUCUUAUGGAUUGUAAACUUCUUUUAUACGGGAAUAACAAGAGUUACGUGUGGCUCCCUGCAUGUACCGUAUGAAUAAGCAUCGGCUAACUCCGUGCCAGCAGCCGCGGUAAUACGGAGGAUGCGAGCGUUAUCCGGAUUUAUUGGGUUUAAAGGGUGCGUAGGCGGCCUGUUAAGUCAGCGGUGAAAUCUAGGAGCUUAACUCCUAAAUUGCCAUUGAUACUGGCGGGCUUGAGUGUAGAUGAGGUAGGCGGAAUGCGUGGUGUAGCGGUGGAAUGCAUAGAUAUCACGCAGAACUCCGAUUGCGAAGGCAGCUUACUAAGGUACAACUGACGCUGAAGCACGAAAGCGUGGGUAUCAAACAGG
rnacentral:rRNA from 1 species